GCGAAUCGAUGGGAGCUUGCUCCCUGAGAUUAGCGGCGGACGGGUGAGUAACACGUGGGCAACCUGCCUAUAAGACUGGGAUAACUUCGGGAAACCGGAGCUAAUACCGGAUACGUUCUUUUCUCGCAUGAGAGAAGAUGGAAAGACGGUUUACGCUGUCACUUAUAGAUGGGCCCGCGGCGCAUUAGCUAGUUGGUGAGGUAAUGGCUCACCAAGGCGACGAUGCGUAGCCGACCUGAGAGGGUGAUCGGCCACACUGGGACUGAGACACGGCCCAGACUCCUACGGGAGGCAGCAGUAGGGAAUCUUCCGCAAUGGACGAAAGUCUGACGGAGCAACGCCGCGUGAACGAAGAAGGCCUUCGGGUCGUAAAGUUCUGUUGUUAGGGAAGAACAAGUACCAGAGUAACUGCUGGUACCUUGACGGUACCUAACCAGAAAGCCACGGCUAACUACGUGCCAGCAGCCGCGGUAAUACGUAGGUGGCAAGCGUUGUCCGGAAUUAUUGGGCGUAAAGCGCGCGCAGGUGGUUCCUUAAGUCUGAUGUGAAAGCCCACGGCUCAACCGUGGAGGGUCAUUGGAAACUGGGGAACUUGAGUGCAGAAGAGGAAAGUGGAAUUCCAAGUGUAGCGGUGAAAUGCGUAGAAA
rnacentral:rRNA from 2 species